rnacentral:rRNA from 1 species
AGCGAACGCUGGCGGCAGGCCUAACACAUGCAAGUCGAACGAACUCUUCGGAGUUAGUGGCGGACGGGUGAGUAACACGUGGGAACGUGCCUUUUGGUUCGGAAUAACUCAGGGAAACUUGUGCUAAUACCGAAUGUGCCCUUCGGGGGAAAGAUUUAUCGCCAUUAGAGCGGCCCGCGUCCGAUUAGCUAGUUGGUGAGGUAACGGCUCACCAAGGCGACGAUCAGUAGCUGGUCUGAGAGGAUGACCAGCCACACUGGGACUGAGACACGGCCCAGACUCCUACGGGAGGCAGCAGUGGGGAAUCUUGCGCAAUGGGCGAAAGCCUGACGCAGCCAUGCCGCGUGAAUGAUGAAGGUCUUAGGAUUGUAAAAUUCUUUCACCGGGGACGAUAAUGACGGUACCCGGAGAAGAAGCCCCGGCUAACUUCGUG